rnacentral:rRNA from 1 species
GGCAGCACGGAGCUUGCUCUGGUGGCGAGUGGCGAACGGGUGAGUAAUGCGUCGGAACGUAUCCAAUAAUGGGGGAUAACGCAGCGAAAGCUGUGCUAAUACCGCAUACGCCCUCCGGGGGAAAGCAGGGGAUCGUAAGACCUUGCGUUAAUGGAGCGGCCGACGUCUGAUUAGCUAGUUGGUAGGGUAAAGGCCUACCAAGGCGACGAUCAGUAGCUGGUCUGAGAGGAUGAUCAGCCACACUGGGACUGAGACACGGCCCAGACUCCUACGGGAGGCAGCAGUGGGGAAUUUUGGACAAUGGGCGCAAGCCUGAUCCAGCCAUUCCGCGUGAGUGAAGAAGGCCUUCGGGUUGUAAAGCUCUUUCAGGAGGGAAGAAACGAUUGUGGCUAAUACCCAUGAUUAAUGACGGUACCUUCAGAAGAAGCACCGGCUAACUACGUGCCAGCAGCCGCGGUAAUACGUAGGGUGCGAGCGUUAAUCGGAAUUACUGGGCGUAAAGCGUGCGCAGGCGGUUUUUCAAGUCUGAUGUGAAAUCCCCGGGCUUAACCUGGGAACUGCGUUGGAAACUGAAAGACUAGAGUGCGGCAGAGGGGGGUAGAAUUCCACGUGUAGCAGUGAAAUGCGUAGAUAUGUGGAGGAAUACCGAUGGCGAAGGCAGCCCCCUGGGUCGACACUGACGCUCAUGCACGAAAGCGUGGGUAGCAAACAGGAUUAGAUACCCUGGUAGUCCACGCCCUAAACGAUGUCAACUAGUUGUUGGGGAGGGAGANCUCCUUAGUAACGCAGCUAACGCGUGAAGUUGACCGCCUGGGGAGUACGGUCGCAAGAUUAAAACUCAAAGGAAUUGACGGGGGCCCGCACAAGCGGUGGAUUAUGUGGAUUAAUUCGAUGCAACGCGAAAAACNNUACCUACCC